rnacentral:rRNA from 1 species
AAAACAUGUCUGUUUGAAGGUAUAAACAGUCUAGCCUGCCCACUGAUGUGUAUUAAAGGGCCGCGGUACUUUGACCGUGCAAAGGUAGCAUAAUCGUUAGUUUCUUAAUUGGGAUCUUGUAUGAAUGGUUGGACAAAAGAGAGUCUGUCUCUAUGAUUAAUAUUGAACUUAACUUUUAAGUGAAAAGGCUUAAAUGAAUUAAAGGGACGAUAAGACCCUAUAAAGCUUAAUAUUCUUAAGCACUAAAUUGAAUUAUAAAUUUAUAAAAAUUUAAUGUGAAUUUUUUAUUGUAUUGGGGCGAUAAAAGUAAAAUGGUUGGUAACUGCUUUAAUGGUUAGCCAAAUUAUAUUUGUUUAAUAAAUUAAAUGAUCCUUAGUAAAGAUUAUAAGAUUAAGUUACUUUAGGGAUAACAGCGUUAUUUUUUUUGAGAGUUCUUAUCGAAAAAAAGGUUUGCGACCUCGAUGUUGAAUUAAAAUUUCUUUACAAUUGCAGGAGUUGUUUUAGAAGGUCUGUUCGACCUUUAAAUUUUUACAUGAUUUGAGUUCAGACCGGCGUGAGCCAGGUCAGCUUCUAUCUUUUAAUAUUAAAUAGGCUAUUUUAGUACGAAAGGAUUAAAUAGU